CCUACGGGCGGCAGCAGUAGGGAAUCUUUCACAAUGGGCGCAAGCCUGAUGGAGCAACGCCGCGUGCAGGAUGAAGGCCCUCGGGUUGUAAACUGCUUUUAUAAGCGAGAAAUAUGAUGGUAACUUAUGAAUAAGGAUCGGCUAACUACGUGCCAGCAGCCGCGGUCAUACGUAGGAUCCGAGCAUUAUCCGGAGUGACUGGGUGUAAAGAGUUGCGUAGGUGGCAUAAUAAGUAGCUAGUGAAAUCUGGUGGCUCAACCAUUCAGACUAUUAGCUAAACUGUUAAGCUCGAGACCGUUAGGGGUAACUGGAAUUUCUAGUGUAGGAGUGAAACCCGUAGAUAUUAGAAGGAACACCAAUAGCGUAGGCAGGUUGCUGGGACGGUUCUGACACUAAGGCACGAAAGCGUAGGGAGCAAACGGGAUUAGAUACCCUUUAGUC
rnacentral:rRNA from 1 species